GUCCUUGAACAUUUGACCCUUUGAAACAUAAAAUAUCACAGUUACAGCAACAAAAAUAUAAUACCCCAGCAUUUUUGGGGAAAGAAAAAUUAAUAAGCACCCACUAGAAUCAAAUACAUGUAAAGAUACAACAGUAUUAUAAUCAAUAACUAUAAUCAACCAGCUUUCUCUGUUAAUAGCCAAAAUGAGAUACAACAGUAUUAUCAGGACCUACAGCAUUUCUACAACUUACAGCAUCUCUUGGAUGCCUUUCUUCAGAAGUUAAUAUACUAUGUAAUUAAUUCAGUUUCACAUCUCAAAAAUUAAAAUAUUCAUUAAUUAGAAUCUUAUGAAGUCAUUAGAAGUUGAUCAAACUUUGUUAAUGAGCUUCUAAUACAUAAUAAAAUGUUAAUGACUUUACACUGUUAGAUGUCCCAUUUAAUACCAGAGCACACACAAAAUAAGGAAAGGAAGAAGAGCUUACCAUGAUAUAGCUCUG
rnacentral:misc_RNA from 1 species